rnacentral:rRNA from 1 species
UACGGGGGGGGCAAGCGUUGUUCGGAAUUACUGGGCGUAAAGGGUCUGUAGGUGGCCAACUAAGUCAGACGUGAAAUCCCUCAGCUUAACUGGGGAACUGCGUCUGAUACUGGUUGGCUUGAGUGCAGGAGAGGAAUGCGGAAUUCCAGGUGUAGCGGUGAAAUGCGUAGAUAUCUGGAGGAACACCGGUGGCGAAGGCGGCAUUCUGGACUGCAACUGCCACUGAAAGACGAAAGCCAGGGGAGCAAACGGG